GUUAAUUAUGAGAAAAGAAAGUAAGGUUGGGUGUGGUAACAAGAAGCAAAAAAAUGGAAAAUGAGAAGAUUGAGAAAGAAAAACAAAAGAGAAAAAGAAAGAAUAAAAAAAUUGUACCCAACCUGAAUAAGUAAAAAAAAUAAAAAGGGAGAAAUAAAGGAAAAUUUUGUUGAGAAGUGGGUCCCAAAAUGUAAUUGUAGUGUUUAUGUAGGUUAGUGACUAAAGCCCUAAAUGUACCAUACCAGC
rnacentral:lncRNA from 1 species